AUUGAACGCUGGCGGCAUGCCUUACACAUGCAAGUCGAACGGUAACGCGGGGCAACCUGGCGACGAGUGGCGAACGGGUGAGAAAUGUAUCGGAACGUGCCCAGUAGUGGGGGAUAGCCCGGCGAAAGCCGGAUUAAUACCGCAUACGACCUAAGGGUGAAAGCGGGGGAUCGCAAGACCUCGCGCUAUUGGAGCGGGCGAUAUCAGAUUAGCUAGUUGGUGGGGUAAAGGCCUACCAAGGCGACGAUCUGUAGCUGGUCUGAGAGGACGACCAGCCACACUGGGACUGAGACACGGCCCAGACUCCUACGGGAGGCAGCAGUGGGGAAUUUUGGACAAUGGGCGAAAGCCUGAUCCAGCCAUGCCGCGUGCGGGAAGAAGGCCUUCGGGUUGUAAACCGCUUUUGUCAGGGAAGAAAAGGCUCGAACUAAUACUUUGGGCUCAUGACGGUACCUGAAGAAUAAGCACCGGCUAACUACGUGCCAGCCGCCGCGGUAAAAC
rnacentral:rRNA from 1 species